AACGCGAAGAACCUUACCUGGCCUUGACAUGUCCGGAAUCCUGCUGAGAGGUGGGAGUGCUCGAAAGAGAACCGGCGCACAGGUGCUGCAUGGCUGUCGUCAGCUCGUGUCGUGAGAUGUUGGGUUGAGUCCCGCAACGAGCGCAACCCUUGUCCUUAGUUGCUACGCAAGAGCACUCUAAGGAGACUGUCGGUGACAAACCGGAGGAAGGUGGGGAUGACGUCAAGUCCUCAUGGCCCUUAUGGGUAGGGCUUCACACGUCAUACAAUGGUCGGUACAGAGGGUUGCCAAGCCGCGAGGUGGAGCCAAUCCCAGAAAGCCGAUCGUAGUCCGGAUUGGAGUCUGCAACUCGACUUCGUGAAGUCGGAAUCGCUAGUAAUCGCGGAUCAGCUAUGCCGCGGUGAAUACGUUCCCGGGUCUUGUACACACCG
rnacentral:rRNA from 1 species